rnacentral:sRNA from 1 species
GUACAUCAAUUAGUGAAAGGUUG